rnacentral:rRNA from 1 species
CAGCCGCCACGGGAAUACGUAGGUGGCAAGCGUUGUCCGGAAUUAUUGGGCGUAAAGCGCGCGCAGGUGGUUUAAUAAGUCUGAUGUGAAAGCCCACGGCUCAACCGUGGAGGGUCAUUGGAAACUGUUAAACUUGAGUGCAGGAGAGAAAAGUGGAAUUCCCAGUGUAGCGGUGAAAUGCGUAGAGAUUAGGAGGUACACCAGUGGCGAAGGCGGCUUUUUGGCCUGUAACUGACACUGAGGCGCGAAAGCGUGGGGAGCAAACAGGAUUAGAUACCCGCGUAGUCCCUGUCUCUUAUAC